rnacentral:rRNA from 1 species
UGAUUCGGGCUCGGCCGAUCCUCCCACCCUUUGUGUACCCACCUCUGUUGCUUUGGCGGGCCGCGGUCCUCCGCGGCCGCCCUCCGUCCGGGGGGUGGCCAGCGCCCGCCAGAGGACCAUCAAACUCCGGUCAGUGAACGUUGCCGUCUGAAAAACAAUCAAUAAACUAAAACUUUCAACAACGGAUCUCUUGGUUCUGGCAUCGAUGAAGAACGCAGCGAAAUGCGAUAAGUAAUGUGAAUUGCAGAAUUCAGUGAAUCAUCGAAUCUUUGAACGCACAUUGCGCCCCUCGGUAUUCCGAGGGGCAUGCCUGUUCGAGCGUCAUUACAACCCUCAAGCUCUGCUUGGUGUUGGGCACCGCCCUUCCGCGGGCGCGCCUCGAAGACCUCGGCGGUGGCGUCUUGCCUCGAGCGUAGUAGAAAACACCUCGCUCUGGAGCGCACGGCGCCGCCCGCCGGCCGAACCUUUUGAACUUUCUCAAGGUUGACCUCGGAUCAGGUAGGGAUACCCGCUGAACUUAAGCAUAUC